GGGCAUGUAACGCAGUGGUAGCGUGUACGCUUUGCAUCGGUGGCUAUGCUAUCACGUUGUAUGCGUAAAGUCCAGGGUUCGAUCCCCUGCUUGUCCA
rfam:Piloderma croceum F 1598 unplaced genomic scaffold scaffold_00107, whole genome shotgun sequence.